rnacentral:rRNA from 1 species
AUUGAACGCUGGCGGCAGGCCUAACACAUGCAAGUCGAACGAGUGGCGGACGGGUGAGUAAUGUCUGGGAAACUGCCUGAUGGAGGGGGAUAACUACUGGAAACGGUAGCUAAUACCGCAUACCAUCAGAUGUGCCCAGAUGGGAAUGGCUUGUUGGUGGGGUAAAGGCUCACCAAGACGACGAUCCCUAGCUGGUCUGUGAGGAUGACCAGCCACACUGGAACUGGGACACGGUCCAGACUCCUACGGGAGGCAGCAGUGGGGAAUAGUGCACAAUGGGAGCAAUCCUGAUGAAGCCAUGCCGCGUGUAUGAAGAAGGCCUUCGGGUUGUAAAGUACUUUCAGCGGGGAGGCGUUACCCGCAGAAGAAGCACCGGCUAACUCCGUGCCAGCAGCCGCGGUAAUUC